AAAGAUCGAUAUCGAGGAGGGCACGACGCCCCGGAGACACCCCUGCUUAGUCAGGCAGUCUGUACCGCGUACAGCCUGAAACUCCCUAAACCUCAACAAUCAGCCACUCCGGCGUGAAGGUAUCGUUCU
rnacentral:sRNA from 18 species